rnacentral:rRNA from 1 species
AUACGGAGGAUCCGAGCGUUAUCCGGAUUUAUUGGGUUUAAAGGGUGCGCAGGCGGCCAUUUAAGUCAGCGGUUAAAUCGUGGGGCUCAACCCCAUUCUGCCGUUGAUACUGGGUGGCUUGAUUGCGGUCGAGGUUGGCGGAAUUCGUUGUGUAGCGGUGAAAUGCAUAGAUAUGACGAAGAACACCGAUUGCGUAGGCAGCUGACCAGACCGCAAAUUACGCUCAUGCACGAAAGUGCGGGGAUCGAACAGGAUUAGAUACCCUGGUAGUCCGCACAGUAAACGAUGAAUACUUGUUUUCGGCGAUAUAAUGUCGGAGGCAAAGCGAAAGCGAUAAGUAUUCCACCUGGGGAGUACGCCGGCAACGGUGAAACUCAAAUGAAUUGACGGGG